GUCGGUCCAUGCGUGUACUGCCUGUGUGCAUAUACGUCCAUGUAAUACUUUCUAUUUCUUUAGUGUGUUCUGUUUGAGGAACAGCUCACGACGAAGGCCCCGGCCUAGCCAGUACGAGCUGAUGCGGGCUCUACAGGAAGACAGAAAGCCACGUCUGACAACUUCCUGCUGACGGCCGUCAGUGGGAGGGUCUCCCCGGGGCGACGAUGAGUGAAGACAUCAGGGCUGUCUCCCGGGAUCCGACCAUGGAUCCGACCCAUCAGACGGAUCCGCCACGCCUCUUGGACCCCGGGAUUAAGAACACAAGCGGGCGUUAUUCUGUGAGAUGUCACGUCUCCCGCGUAAACGAUUGAAUCCAUUUCACACGUCUUGGGCUCUUGUGCUCUGAGUUUACAGUCACACGGCUCUCACCUCUGUUGUCAGUCGCGCGGCGCUAAUCCGGUUGGGGCGUCCGUCACGGCAACCGGGGCCCGCGGCUCCGCGGGGAUCCAAAAUGUCUGUCGCCGAAUCGGUGUGAAAGUCAGACAGGGAGGGGAGGGGAGGAGGGGAGGAGACGAGGAGAGAAGGAGAGAAGGAGAGAAGGAGAGAAGGAGAAAAAGGAGGGCAGAGGAUGAGAGAAAGAUGGGUUGGAUCAUGGAAGUGCGCAAGGCGGGCCGGGCAGUCCUCAUGUUCAUGGGUCUCAUCUGCUUUAUCGCUGCCUUCACCCUUAACACCCUGGCCGGCCAGGGAUCACGGAGUGGUAUUUUUAAGCAGAGUACGGAGGACGUGACCCUGAAGUACAGGACCCCACUGUCUCCAGCCACCUGGUCUCUGUUCGUGUGGGACUUCAUCUACGUCUGGUUCUUCUUCAUGUUCCUCUACUUCCUGGCCGGCCUCUGCAGAAGGGGUGUGUAUGAGUGGAUGUACACCACUCCUGCUGUGCUGCCCUAUGGGUUCCACGCCAUGAUGGUCCUCAACAUGAGCCUGAACAUCACCUGGCUCUUCCUCUACCACCAAGAGAUGCUGCUGCCAUCCUUCAUCAUCUCAGCUCUGAUGUCGUUAACAGACUACCUGCUGCUGUUCUUCUCCUGCCAGGGCCUCAAGGUGUACGGGGCGUGGCUCCAAAAGCACAGCCCGGCUGACCUGUGGUUCCUCCGAGUCCUGGUGCAGAACGGGGUAGCGGUGUACGCAGCGUGGGGGAGCAUCUCCACCCUGCUGUGCCUGUCCGUCUACCUGGAGAACCGGACCGCCACGUCCAAGUGUGACUGCGCCAUGGUCUCCCUCGUGGUGCUGCUCAUGGAGCUGCUAGUAUGGUUCUUGUUGGAGAACUUCUACCUGGACGAGCAUGUGCGCUACGUCCUGACCGUUUACCCUGUGACCAUCCUCUGGCUGGCGGGCAGUGUCACUCAGUCGGCACUCCCCGGGAAUUACAUCUACGACUUCUCCGUGGUGAUCCUGGGCACAGCGUGCGUCAUGUUUGUAGUGCGCCUGGCCCUGGUGUUGUGGCGACACCGGACAAAGCCUCUCUACAGCGACCCCUUCACGGUCCCAUCGCCGGUGGAGAUAGCCCUGACCCAGAGGGGGGUCUUUCACUAACGUCCUUAACGUACCCCUGAGAAGUAGCGGGUGUUUGUGGCGGAGUGAGACUGUUUUUGUAGAGGAGUUGAGAGUUCGUCUGUAGCGGGGAUGAGCGUGUGUUUGGAGCCGAGUGAGAGUUUGUUUGAAAUCGAGGUGAGAUUGUGUUUGUAGCGAAGUUGAGAGUGUGUUUGUAGCGGUGGUGAGCGUGUAUGUAGAGGAAGUGAGAGUGUGUUUGUAGCAGAGUGAGAGUGUGUUUGUAGAGAAGUUGAGAGUGUGUUUGUAGCGGUGGUGAGCGUGUAUGUAGAGGAAGUGAGAGUGUUUGUAGCGGAAUCAUUUUAUAUUGUUCCGUUCGGUCCGCUGAUGAUUGUGCAUUCUUGUGUAUUCUUUAGUAAAAAUCACCUGUUAUAUGCUGCAUUUCCACUGUAUUUGAGCGGUCAUUUGAGGAGAGACAUAUCAGUUCCACAGUGAAUGAACAGCUGUCUGUAUGUAAAUCAUGUCGGCUUCAAUAAACAACAUUCAAAUCUCAAUCCAAAAUAGUCUUCCUCCCAUAUACCACACACACACACACACACACACACACACACACACACACACACACACACACACACACACACAC
ensembl:lncRNA